UACGUAGGGUGCAAGCGUUGUCCGGAAUUAUUGGGCGUAAAGAGCUCGUAGGCGGUUUGUCACGUCGGAUGUGAAACCCUGAGGCUCAACCUCAGGCCUGCAUUCGAUACGGGCAGACUAGAAUUCGGCAGGGGAGACUGGAAUUCCUGGUGUAGCGGUGAAAUGCGCAGAUAUCAGGAAGAACACCCGUGGCGAAGGCGGCUCUCUGGGACGGUACUGACGCUGAGACGCGAAAGCGUGGGGAGCGAACAGG
rnacentral:rRNA from 1 species